AGAGAAGGAAACUGAAAUGGUAAAGAGACAGGGGCAACCUCUACACCUCUAUGGUGGCUAGGAUAGUUGGGAGGGGGAAGGCGUGUUAAAGGAAUGGGAAGAGAUGACUGGCCCUGAGCGGGAGGUUGGUGGAGGAAGGGGGUGUUAAGGGAGGCUUAGUCUUAGUAGCCUGGGAAGGAGGUAGAGAAUGGAGUAUGGGGGCUUCAUCAGAAGAGUUGGCGUUUCUCUAGCUGAUUUAACCAAAUAAACAGUCACCAAUCUGCAAGAUGAUCAUGCAAAAUGGAAAUUGGAGUUGGGGGAAAAGUCGUGAUAUCCUCGCCUGGAGUGGCAUGGAUUGGGGGCGGGGACUAUCUGUAGCUUGGAAUCCCCUUCGUCUGCGCCCUGAGUAAGCCCCUAUUCCCCUCCUCCUGCCCAGCCUUCAUGUCCAUUUCUUUGACCUAAGGAGAGAGAGAAAUGUUGGGUUUCUGUGUUAUGGGGUUCCGGUUCUUUCUCCCUCUCCUCAGCACUUCCCCCCUUCCCCACGCCUCUGAUCCUUUCUGCAGCCAUCACCACUGCCACCAACUCGGUUCCACUCAAUCGAUUUUUGCUGCAUGUCAACACUUAUUACCGAUAAGAGAAGAGUGAUCAGAGGAGUGAUAGAUGAACAAUCUGAAUGCUUUCUAGGUUAUCUACAAAAUAUGAAAAUAACCAGGGGAAGGUCUCUGGUGCUUUGGGAAGAUCUCCUACAGAUUUAUGGAAAAAUAUGGACAGAAAUCUCAGAAGAUAAGAAGGCAUGUGGAUGCACUGUAUCCACAAUAAUGCGCACUAUAAUCCAUAAAGUAUGGAAUAUCACUAUUGUCUCCUUGUUGUCAAUAUCUUAAUUGAAAAUAAAGUUUUUCUUUUGUUCAGAA